UGGGCAUAGAAAAACUAUGAUUUGCUAAGCACCAGCUGAGAGAGAGAGAGCAGCCUCCUGCCUGCUGUCCUGGCCCCAGCACCCUGUGACUGAUCCGUCCUUGGGAAAACCUUGUUCUGCAUUUCCUUACGAGAAGGAAAGAUUAACUGCUCUUUUGAUACAGAUCUUUACAUCACACUUGGCAAAUGAGGUAAAAAGUCAGCACUGUGGAUUUCUGACUACUAUGCAGUCUUGCCAUCCAGAAUCCAAGUGUCCUCACUGUGGUUAAACUGUGUACACCUGGAAAGUCUGGAUGGCUGAAAAAUAGAAGGCUUAGAAGGAAGAGGACAGCAAAAGAUGGAAGAGAUCAGAAACCGAGCAUUUAAGAUCAACAAAUGGGGAAAAAUAAAAGGAGGAAGUGAACAAAACCCAGAAAAAAUGCCCUCAACAGCUCCAUCCCUGAAGCCAGACCCCACAGCUCUUUAUUUUCUACCGCUGGGAUCUUCAUAUAUAGCAGAUACAGACCAUGCUGUGGAAACACAACAGGUCCACUGAAACAGAAACGCUGAGGAAGAGCUCCAGUACAUCACAUCUGCUCAACAUACAUGUAAAACUGCUGGGAAAGAUAAAGAAACAAUUUACAGCUCAGUGCCUUCAGUAGCUGGAAGGCAUACACCUCAUGGCUCUUUUCUCCAUUAGACCAAGCAGUUUCUGGAAGGUUCUUGU